rnacentral:lncRNA from 1 species
GUCCAGUUCGUUACCGCUGAGCCACAAUGGGAACUUCCUAGGAUGGCCUUGGCUUUAAAGUGCACCUGCUGAAGUUCUUCUAACUCACCCCCUUCUGCCACUAGCCAAUUUAUUCCUUUCCCUCAUUCAACUGUCCACUGAGUUCUUGCCUGUUGGGGCUACCUCAAUUUUCUAUAGUUAUAAAGAGUAGAAUAUAAAGUUGAAGAAAAAAACUAAAUGUAGCAAUUCUCAUCAUCUGCGUGACUUUGAAAGUCAACCCUCUUAAUAAGCAAACAUAUGAUGAUUGAUUGUACAUGUUCGAAAUAGCCGUGACUCUGGUCUCUCCAGUUUCUUCUUGUUUGGGAAUUUCUGAAAUCCAGAGGCUGAAUAAAAACAUAAACUAGAAAUCUAGAAAAUAAAGAGAACACCGAACAGAUUAGGAAUAUUUAAUAUAUUAAGGAAAACAGAAUAGAGUAAACCCAUGUAAAAGGUACACAUUUUAGGAGUUCCCGUCAUGGCUCGGUGGUUAACGAACCUGACUAGCAUCCAUGAGGACGCUGGUUCGAUCCCCAGCCUCGCUCAGUGGAUUAAGGAUCCGGCGUUGCCAUGAGCUGUGGUGUAGGUCGCAGACGCAGCUCAGAUCCGGUAUUGCUGUGGCUGUAGCGCAGGCUGGCAGCUGUAGCUCCGAUGUGACCCCUAGCCUGGGAACCUCCAUUUGCUGCAGCUGGAUUAGGACCCAAUCCAAUGACUUCAUCUAACCUCUUUACCUCUUUAAGGGCUUUAUCCCCAAGUACAAUCAUGUUUUGAGGUACUGGUAGGUCAGGACUUAAGUAUAUGAAUUUGGGGUGAGGGUGGGGACAUAAUUCAGCUCAUAACAUCUAAGAAUGCAAUAAUUUACAAAAGCCUCAGUGUGUUCAUUUUCUUUAUUUAUAUCACUGGUUAUAUAGCUAUCUGGAAAGAUGAAGUCACUCGAGUGAAUAUGAUAACAAUAGAACUCAAGCUCUCAGUUAAAAAAAAAAAUUUCCAAGAGUUCCCUGGCUAAUCAGCAGAUUGUAUCCAGUGUCAUCACUGCUGGGGUCUGGGUCACUGCUAUGGCACAGGUUUCAUCCCUGGCCCGGGAACUUCUGCAUGCCAUGGGCACAGCCAAAUAAUAAUAACAGCAAAUAAUAAUGAUGAUAAUCCACACAGACCUACAAUCUACUGUGAUGAGGCUGUGCAUGAUUUGACUAAUUUUCAUAAGGAUAAUAGCAAGUAUUUAAGGAUAGACCUUGUUUCUGAAAUUUUCAUACAAUGGAUGACAUCUUUCACAUUGUCUUUUCAUUAAUAUUCAUAAACACAGUCUCAUAUUAAGUAUUUACAUCUUUUGGUUCAACAGAGGAUACAAGACCAGCAACAGCGGUAUGCCAUGCUCGCUAUCCUCGCUGAAAAACACCGCCUAUACAAGGCAGUGUUUCCAGAACUUGGAAAAUAUAUGGAGCACUUCAUGAAUAAUUAUUUUAACUCAACGUGAAGAAGAGCUAAAUAUCUGUGAAAAUAUAAACAGACUACACUCUGGGAGGAAAAGAGUUGCCACUGGUUUAAUUCUACGUAAUUUAUGGAAUUUAUACAGAAACAACUAUGAAUACUCUAUAUAAUUAUAGGCAUUCACUGCUUAAAGAGGCAGUUGAUUUAUUAUUUAUAAUUUAUGUUAAACAGAUUAUUACAUUUAUUUUGUUCAUUUCUUCAUGAUUUAUGUUUUAAAAUAUUAUAUAUAUACAUAUAUAUAUAUAUGUGUGUGUGUAUAUACAAGAAAGAAGCCUGAAGUUAUGUCUGUAGUUCUGUGGGUAUUUAGAAAGGAACAAAAAAGUUCCUCAAAGAUAAAAAGAAAAUAUGCUCCCUUUUCUGUUCUUAAUUGCCUGAGGGAUCAACCGCAAAAUCAGUGCAAUGAAACAGUCGGAGCUUGAGAGCUGGGCUUCCUAAAGCUGGAGAUGCUCAGAAAUGCUCAGCAGGACAUCACAGAGCUUCCCCAUCCCCAGCGUUUAGGCUCCUGGUAUAUUAAAAACAUCUUUGGAUGUCAGAACAAAAUUUGAAAGCACACACACACACAUAGAAUCAUUGUACCUCAUUUGAAAAAAAGACCAUCUGAAUGUGAAGGCUUUUGCACAUAUGUUACCAUGACAACCAGGCCCUGUCAGUUCCCAGCCCCACGUCCCCACAGGCUCAGCCUCCCCAGGAUGGACUCAGAGAGGCAGCUUAGCAACUUGUUACUGGAAAGCUGUGGUUGAAGCAUGACUGUCCAAUCCCCAUGUGUCUUUAGCGGAUUCAUUGGAUUUGUUUCCUACAGUUGCUACAACAAACUCUCCCGUAGGGGCUUAGAACAAUACAAACUUACUUCCUUACUCUUCUGGAGGCCAGUGGUCUGAGAUGGGUGUCACUGGACCCAAACCAAGGUGUUGUCUGGACUGGUUUCUCUCUGGAGGUUCUGAGGGAGAAUCUAUUUUCUUGCCCUUCCGGUUUCCAGAGGCUGCCCGCAUUCCUCGUCUCCUGGCCCCUUUCUCCACUUCCAAAUGCAGCAAUGGGGUGUCAUGUCCCCUUCACACCUCAUUCUCUUUGACCCCCUCUUCCAUUGCCUUAUCUAACCCCUGCCAUCCUCUUCAUUUUUUGGAGGGGCCAUGCUUACGGCAUGUGGAAUUUCCUGGAUGAAACCCCUGCCACAGCAGUAACCAGAGCAACAUCAGUGGCAAUGCCAGACCCUUAACCCACAGAGCCGCCAGGAAGCUCCAUCCUUUCCAGUUUUUAAGGGCCUGUGGGAUUACAUUGGGCCCACUAGGAUAACUGUCCUAUGUUAAGGUCAGCUAAUUAGCGACCUUAAUUCCAUUUGCAGCCUUAAUUUCUUUUUGUCAUGAAACAUAUUCACCAAUUAUGGGGACUUUGACAUGGUGUCUUCUUGGGGUUGUUCUACCUAGCUCACUUAUUUUUUCAUUAACAGUAAAUACAUUGGCCAAGGACUACCAUGAGGACUAAUUAAUAUAUUCAAGAAGCAGACAACAUCAGGAAAGAAAACAGAUCUUGUGAUGUAACUGAACAUUAGUACACUGGGGAAGUGGCAUAAAAUCCAGAGAAGAGGGAAUGCCAUAAAGUAAUAUCUGGAGAAAUGGACACUUGAACCCAGUGGUCUAAGCACAGGAAGAAGUGUGGUAGUUUUUUGUUUGUUUGUUUGUUUGUUUGUUUAUUUUCCCACUGUACAGCAAGGGGGUCAGGUUAUCCUUACAUGUAUACAUUACAAUUACAUUUUUUCCCCCAUCCUUUGUUCUGUUGCAACAUGAGUAUCUAGACAUAGUUCUCACUGCUAUUCAGCAGGAUCUCCUUGUAAAUCUAUUCUUUUUUUUUUUGUAGGAGAAAGAAUAUGUAUGCAGAAGAUGGAGGAGGCAGAAUAGGACCAGGUACUGGAGAAACAUUUCCCAGGAACAAAUAUAGCAAGUUGAAAUUAGUCUCACCCAAUUUUUCGAAUCUCCUUUGAUAAAACUAACAGAUGAGGGCUCUAACAAGCAACAUCAAACACCAAACUCCUUGUGUUAUUUUUAAUUAGAAAAUAAAUUUAGAAGCAAUGAUACUUAUUGCAUUAGAGAAGGUUGGAAGGAGCUGUCUUGCUCCCUCUAAUGUUCCUUCCACUGUAAUCACCUGAUGAUAUUCUUAUAAAAGCUAAACACUGAAAGCUAAAUAAAACCUCUCAGUGAAAAACAAGGGUAUGAAUUUAUUGUGAAUAAAUGCAACAUUUUACUUAAAACCAGAUCUUUUAGAGUCACUGUUCCUUCUCCCUGGUCCCCAGAGGGCUGAUUCUGGAGCUCCUUGCAUGUGGAAGGCCCAUCAGGAUCCAGCCCCAAAGGCCUCCCCAGGUUCUCCUGAAGCAGCAAGACAAUGGCUUAUUCCAACCUAGGCUUGUUCCCGCAGCAGGAAAACAAACCUGUUCCAAGGCCGGUGAGGGGUAUUUUGUGAGUGUGACCUCAGAGGUCCUGAGGUCCCUCAGGCAGGCCCCUAACUUCUCUGAUCCUCAUCUAAACUUUAAGAUUAUCCUAAGAUCUACUCUACAUACAUAUAAGUAGGAACAAGUGUGAGAUGCUGAAUUAAGGUUUCCAGAGAAACAGAACACAUAGGAUGUAUAGAGAGAUUUAUCCAUAAGAGAUUUAUUACAGGAAUUGGUUCAUGAGAGUACGGAGUCCCACCAUCUUCUGUGUUCAGCUGGAGAACCAGGAAAGCCGGUGGCGUCAUUCAGCUCAAGUCCAAAGGCAUAAGAUCCAGAGGAACUAAUAGAGUCAGUCCUGAGGGGAGUCAAUCAGCCUGAGAAUCAGAGAGCCAAUGGCUUAAGUCCUGGACCAAGGCAGAGGCUGGAGAACCGGAAGCACCUGUGUCUGAGGACAGGAAGACGGAGGUCCCACCUCAUGCAGAGAGAGUGAAUUCACCCCUUCUCCUUUGUGUUCUCUUGGGGUUCUCAACGGGGCGGGCAAUGCCCAUCUUCGGCGGUGUUCUCUCCUCUUCCUACUGAAUCAGAUGCUGAUCUCUUCAGAAACACCCUCACAGAUAAAUCCAGAAAGGUUUUACCCACCAUCCCCACAUCUUUUUAUCCCAAUCAGGUUGACACAUUAAAGGAACCACCAUAGAGGAAAACCAUUAUACAAAUAUUACUGUUGUUUAUAGGCAUCUUCUGAUAGGUGACACGUGUGUGUAGGAGCAUGCGUGCAGCCUUGCCCCUCACCAUCAGCACCAGACACCUUUCUAAAUGCAACCUGACCGAGAAAGACUUUCUGUGACGGAAAAUGACAUCUCCCACCCUCCAGCUUUGAUCCCCAAACACUCACCGCUGAGCAGCACUGACUGUUGCCUGAUGACCAAUAAAACCAACUUUGCAUAUUCUGGCCUGUGGAAGCAAACCUGAUAAACAAGAGGGGGAAUAAAUAUUUAUAAAUAAGAAGAGCGGGAGUUAACAAUGCAUCACAGCAUCAUUAAAUAUAUUUUCUCUAAACAGGGAAGAGUUUGCAGGUAAUUAGCAGCAUGAAAAUGUGAAAAGUGUCAACACAUGCCAUGCAGUGGUGAAAAGACACACACACAUAAAAUCCAGCACUCAGUGCUAAUUGAAGAAAAUACAUAUGCAAAUGUAUUCAUAAUGGUAGAUCUAGAAAUGCCUUUUUUCCCCUCAAAUUUCCUAAAUCAUCAAAAAGUGAUUAUGUUUUCAUUUUUCUUGCUGUCUAGAAAGCUUCAAAGUUUUCACCUCUGCUGUUUUUCAGAAGAUGCUUUACGGGGGCAGUGGUUUGGGGUCAGGAAAAUGAUCCCCUCGUGUUUCUCAUCUGUAUUUAAUUUCCACCUGAAUUGUCACUGACAUUUGCCUCUGAAAUUAAAAUAAUACUAAGGCCAAAGGAUGGAAAAAUAGAUCAAAGAAACAGAAUAAAGGGUCCAAAAAUAGACCCACACUUAUUCUGAAAAUUGGUUGUUAAGAAAAGUUUCAAAGAUACUCAGAUGAAAAGAAAAAUAUUGUAACAAAUGGUGCAAAAAAAAAGAAAGUGACUCUCUCUAUGGAUAAAGUUUACCUCAUUGUAAAUUGUAAAUAUUUUAUAAAAAUAAAUUAAUACUCUUAAAAAUUAAAUGCUUGUGCCCUUUCAAAAAUAUUUUAACAUAAUAAAGGAUAGACCAGAGUUUGGGAGGACAGUAUUUGCAAAGCACAUUAAAAAAAAAAAAAACUUCCUUCAGACUAUUGAAAAGAACUUUGACUACCCAAUCUGUCUCACAAUAAUACAAGAAAAGCAUCUCAUAUAAUAAAUGAGAACAACUGACUCAGUUUUUUUUAAAGGGGCAAGAUAUUUGAAGGGACAUUUUGCAGAAGAAUAUAUGAGGAUGGUUAACAAGCAUGAGAAAAGAUGCUCAUUAUCAUUAGUCGUCAGGGAAACGCAAACUAAAGCCACAUUGUGAUACCCUAGACAUCCCAGCACCAUAGCUACAGUUAAAAGGAUUGGCCGCUCCAUGUUUCGGUGAAGAAGAGGAAUGGCCAGAACUCUCAUUUCUACCUAGCGAAAAAUGCAAAAAAAUUUGGAAGUUUCUUAGAAAGUUAAACACAAAUUUACCCUAUGCUUAUGAGACUCAAACAUCC